rnacentral:tRNA from 1 species
GUCAGUAUGGCCGAGCGGUCUAAGGCGCUGCGUUCAGUUCGCAGUAGUCUACUCUUGUAGGCGUGGGUUCGAAUCCCACUUCUGACA